GACGAACGCUGGCGGCGUGCUUAACACAUGCAAGUCGAACGGUGAAGCGCCUUCCUUUUUGGUGGGUGUGGAUGAGUGGCGAACGGGUGAGUAACACGUGAGUAACCUGCCCCCUUCUUCUGGAUAACCGCAUGAAAGUGUGGCUAAUACGGGAUAUUCUGGGUCUGUCGCAUGAUGGGUCUGGGAAAGAUAUUGUUUCGGUGGGGGAUGGGCUCGCGGCCUAUCAGCUUGUUGGUGGGGUGAUGGCCUACCAAGGCGGUGACGGGUAGCCGGCCUGAGAGGGCGGACGGUCACACAGGGACUGAGACACGGCACAGACUCCUGCGGGAGGCAGCAGUGGGGAAUAUUGCACAAUGGGCGCAAGCCUGAUGCAGCGACGCCGCGUGAGGGAUGGAGGCCGUCGGGUUGUGAACCUCUUUCGCCAGUGAAGCAGGCCUGCCUCGUUUGUGGGUGGGUUGACGGUAGCUGGAUAAGAAGCGCCGGCUAACUACGUG
rnacentral:rRNA from 1 species